rnacentral:lncRNA from 1 species
GGUCAUUUAAAGGUGGACACAUUCGCCAUGAGGCAGUCGAGCCAUGCAAUAGCUUCCUUCUCAGGCCAUCAGCUGCCCUGUGCACUUCCCUUUGCCACACCAGCGGCCUGCAGAUGCCAUGUGGGCCCUCGCCGGCUUGACCACUCACACAGUAAGAAGGAUAGGCUUGUGGCGAGCGCUGCCACCACAGAGAAUGUCGUCAAGAAGGAGCAGUACAACAGAAGCAUGGGCGAGUGAGUAAUCAAUCAAGUGUGCAGCAUGCAUAAUGUGCCUUCACCCACUGUCAAAGGCUCCUAGAAGUCUAUU